GGUGAGAUGGCCGAGUUGGUCUAUGGCGCCAGGUUAAGGCUACCUUAACGCAAUUUCCUGGUGGAGAAAUCCGCGUGGGUUCGAAUCCCACUCUCAUCA